ACAAGGAGCUGGGCCUGCAUAGGGCCUCUGGGAAAAAUGUAAAAGUCUCCAAAGAUGUGCCAAGGAGGUUUCACUUGGUCCUCUGGCCAGGAGAGAGCCCCCCUCAGAUUUUCAGUCUUGCAAAUUUAUUUUGUGCCGGUAUUUAAGAUGCACUGAGCUGCCAACUUCUCAUCUGGACUUGGACGGCAAAUUCAGCAUGGUCCAUCAGCAUCUUCCUCCCAGGUGCCGUUGAAUCCUGUUUCUGUCUGGUACUGUACUCAACUGUAUUCACAGAAGGCAGGGGCCAUAUCUUCUUCAGCUGUGUAUCUUCAGUCCCCAGCCAGAGUUCGUUAUAAACGAGGGGCUUGGUGCACACACAAGAAGCCUUAGCUUCUCGCGGGACUGCCCCUAACUUCUGUGGGGGCCUGGAUGAGUAUACAAAGGAGCCUGUGACCUGAUUCCACUUCUCUCCUGCCCCAGUUUCAGCCCUCGCCUUGUAGGGCCUCCAGGACACGACAUCCCAGCUGACAUAUCCAAACUCCAUCCGCAUACACAGUGCUACUCUGGGUCCCUCCUUGACCACCCACAGGCCUAGAAGUAUAUACAGCAGGGCUGGCAGGUCGCCUUGGGACAAUGGACCCAGGAAAGAGAAGCCGGUUUUGAGCAUUGGGCACCCGAGUACCUGGAAUUUGGUCUAGACGGACACGUGCAGGGUCUGUGUAGGCACGCUCCUGGCUGUGUGGUGAGGGAUGUGGCCGGAGGGCCAGAGCAGGGCCGGGAGGGACUGCCCAGGUCCAGGGGAAGUACUGGUCCCCAUGAAGGAUUCCUGGAAGCUUCACCACAAUCUCUGUCCCACCUCAUCACAUGUCUG